UUGAUUAGUGUACAGACACCACUAAAAUUGGAACGAUACAGAGAAGAUUAGCAUGGCCCUUGCGCAAGGAUGACACCCUUUACACAUCAACAUUUCCUAAUUUUU